GGACAACCUACCCUUCGGUCCGGCAUAAUCCUGGGAAACUGGGGAUAAUUCCGGAUAGGCCACAUAAGCUGGAAUGCUCUGUGGCCCAAAGCUUUUGCGCCGAAGGAUGGGUCUGCGGCCUAUCAGGGUUGUAGUGGGUGUAAUGUACCUACUAGCCUACGACGGGUACGGGUUGUGAGAGCAAGAGCCCGGAGAUGGAUUCUGAGACACGAAUCCAGGCCCUACGGGGUGCAGCAGGCGCGAAAACUUUACAAUGCGGGAAACCGUGAUAAGGGAAUCUCGAGUGCCAGCAUAUAAUGUUGGCUGUCCAGAUGCCUAAAAAGCAUCUGUUAGCAAGGGCCGGGCAAGACCGGUGCCAGCCGCCGCGGUAACACCGGCGGCCCGAGUGGUAACCGCUAUUAUUGGGUCUAAAGGGUCUGUAGCCGGCCAGGUAAGUCCCUUGGGAAAUCUGGCAGCUCAACUGUCAGGCUGCUAGGGGAUACUGUUUGGCUUGGGACCGGGAGAGGUGAGAGGUACCUUGGGGGUAGGGGUGAAAUCUUGUGAUCCUCGGGGGACCACCAGUGGCGAAGGCGUCUCACCAGAACGGGUCCGACGGUAAGGGACGAAAGCUAGGGGCACGAACCGGAUUAGAUACCCGGGUAGUCCUAGCCGUAAACGAUGCUCGCUAGGUGUCAGUCACGGUGCGACCGUGAUUGGUGCCGUAGGGAAGCCGUGAAGCGAGCCACCUGGGAAGUAUGGCCGCAAGGCUGAAACUUAA
rnacentral:rRNA from 1 species